GAGUUUGAUCAUGGCUCAGAUUGAACGCUGGCGGCAGGCCUAACACAUGCAAGUCGAACGGUAGCACAGAGGAGCUUGCUCCUUGGGUGACGAGUGGCGGACGGGUGAGUAAUGUCUGGGAAACUGCCCGAUGGAGGGGGAUAACUACUGGAAACGGUAGCUAAUACCGCAUAACGUCGCAAGACCAAAGAGGGGGACCUUCGGGCCUCUUGCCAUCGGAUGUGCCCAGAUGGGAUUAGCUAGUAGGUGGGGUAACGGCUCACCUAGGCGACGAUCCCUAGCUGGUCUGAGAGGAUGACCAGCCACACUGGAACUGAGACACGGUCCAGACUCCUACGGGAGGCAGCAGUGGGGAAUAUUGCACAAUGGGCGCAAGCCUGAUGCAGCCAUGCCGCGUGUAUGAAGAAGGCCUUCGGGUUGUAAAG
rnacentral:rRNA from 1 species